rnacentral:rRNA from 1 species
GUAGACAGCUUCCAUGGGGCGUAGGCCUCACAAAAGGUAACAGAGGCGUGCAAAGGUUUCCUCGGGUCAAACGGAGAUCGGCCUUUGUGCAAAGGAGAAAGGAGCUUGCCACAAAACUGUAACAUCCCACAUUGUCCAGAGGAGUGGAUCAUGUAAGCCUUAUAUGUAUAUUCUUAUCUCUACCUAGCACGAGGCUUUUUGGGAGCUCACUGGUUUCAGGUUCCAUCGGAACUCCAAGGUUAAGCGAGUUCGCGCGAGAGAAAUCCCAUGAUGGGUGAUCCACUGGGAAGUUCUCGUGUGAGUUCCCAGAAACAAAACCGUGAGGGCGUGGUCGGGGCCCAAAGCGAACAAUAUCGUGCUACGGCGAAGCCGAGCCUGGGAUGUGGUGGGGGCCCGACCCACCCGUUGAGUAGGACAAAAGUCGGCCUUAGUGAUCCGAUGGUGCCAAAUGGAAGUGUCGUCGCUCAACGGAUUAAAGGUACUCUAAGAAUAACAAGUUGAUCUUUCUAAAGAGCUUGCAUCAACGGGAAGGUGCGGUUACAUGCAUGAAUUCUCCUUCAUAUACACAUUAAAACAAGAUUUUUCCGUAA